UACAGGGGGUGCAAACGUUGCUCGGAAUUAUUGGGCGUAAAGCGCGCGUAGGCGGCUACUUAAGUCGGAUGUGAAAGCCCUUGGCUCAACUGAGGAAGUGCACCCGAAACUGAGUGGCUUGAGUACUAAAGAGGGUCGCGGAAUUCCCGGUGUAGAGGUGAAAUUCGUAGAUAUCUGGAGGAACACCGGUGGCGAAGGCGGCAUCCUGGACCAACACUGACACUGAGGAGCGAAAGCCAGGGGAGCAAACGGG
rnacentral:rRNA from 1 species